CAAAAAUAAAAAAUGCAAUGGCAGCAGCUGCAAAAUUUUUUGCCGAGAGAGUGAGAGCUCCUACAUUUUUUUAAAAAAAACGUUGCAGCCAAAGAGGCUUAAGCAAGUCACGGCUGCCCUACUUUGCUAAGGCCAUGUGUCCUCUAAAAUGAGGUGGGGUCUACCCUAAAAAAAAUAAAAGCAAAACCCUAGGUGCCAAGUGUCUACUAUUUGGGCCCAUCAUAUUUUUGCCAACAAUGGUCCAUUGUGCAAAAGUUUGUCCAAAAAGUUUAAACAAAUAAAAUUACAAUACAAUAAAAUUUAAAAUGUCUAAUUUGAGAGUCUUGAAUUUAUUUUGUCUCCUCCAAAUGUCCCGAAUUGUGUUUCCAAAAUUUUU
rnacentral:lncRNA from 1 species